rnacentral:rRNA from 1 species
UAGGGAAUCUUCCGCAAUGGACGCAAGUCUGACGGAGCAACACCGCGUGAGUGAAGAAGGAUUUCGGUUCGUAAAACUCUGUUGUUAGAGAAGAACAGCGCAUAGAGUAACUGUUAUGCGUGUGACGGUAUCUAACCAGAAAGCCACGGCUAACUACGUGCCAGCAGCCGCGGUAAUACGUAGGUGGCAAGCGUUGUCCGGAAUUAUUGGGCGUAAAGAGCUUGUAGGCGGUUCGUCGCGUCUGGUGUGAAAGCCCAUCGCUUAACGGUGGGUUUGCGCCGGGUACGGGCGGGCUAGAGUGCAGUAGGGGAGACUGGAAUUCUCGGUGUAACGGUGGAAUGUGUAGAUAUCGGGAAGAACACCAAUGGCGAAGGCAGGUCUCUGGGCUGUUACUGACGCUGAGAAGCGAAAGCGUGGGGAGCGAACAGG